rnacentral:lncRNA from 1 species
AAUUUAAGUGUGGUAUGCUGCGAAAAGAUAAUUAUCUUGGGUGGACCAAUAUGGCCGACCAAUUGACACAACAUUUUUGUUACUGUUGAGACUUGAGAAACCUUUAGCAAAACACUACUACAUGGUUGAGCGAACUCCCUUUUUUUUUGGUGUGUGUGUGGAUAAAAUAAGAUAGCAGGGGUCAGAAACUCAAUUAUCUGACUGCAUGUCGAAAUUUCUUUUUCGGUUAGUGUGGUUAGUCAAUUUUUUAGGAUAUCAUGAUAGUCAUUGAAAUGCAAUGGUUUGUACCUUUUUUUUAAAAAAAAUAUCAAGAGUGCUUUUGGUCAAGGAAUCCUUAUUGUACCUUUUUUUUAAAAAAAAUAUCAAGAGUGCUUUUGGUCAAGGAAUCCUUAUGAAGGUUGAGAAAAUACUAAGAUUGUUAGAUAUGUGGAUGAAGAUUGGACUAGACCUCGAUCUGAUAGAUGGUCUAUGCACACUCAUUGUGUAUUGAGUGGUGGAAAUUUGAUCUCUUGAAGAAAAAAAGUAAUUAUUGUCUGGUCAACUGGAGGGGUUGAAUAUAGAGCAAUGGUUUCAGCAACAUAUGGAGCUUAUGCAUUUCAAACAGUUGCUUCAAGACCUGUAAUUAAAAAAAUAGCAUAGUUGACAUUGAAUUAUGACACAACUGGCUAUAUUUCUUCUAGUACAUUGUUUCGUAAAUAGACCAAGACAUUGUGUUCAAUUACCAUCUAUCGUAAGAAAAUACUGUUUUAACUUAAUUCCAUGAGC